CCGGACCCCAGUGUUUUCUGGAGGCACGAAAUAUUUUAAUUUUUAACUCGAUAAUUCAGCCUUCCCGCCAGCUCCACCCGAGUCGUAGGAGCGGACUGCGGAACGCGUUAGAUCUGUGAUAGUUAAAGACCUUCGCCAUCGCACAUUCGACAGUCCGACUUCUUCUUCUUCGGACUUUUGUAAUUAUCUUGUACUUCUAUACUUGUCAUUUUUACUCUAGAGUAUCCGCAGUAGGAAAUUUUAAAAUUUAUAUAACUAUUCUGACUCCUGUUAGUAGUAUGAUGAUUUAUUAUGCAAGACAAUUAUGACUACUUUAUAUUUGAUUAAUUGUAUAUAUGGAUUUGCGGGUUGGUAAGGCUUACUACGGGUUUCGGUGGCCUUAAGCCUACCCAUUCCCUAGUGCCGGUCACGGGCCCCCAAAGUGGGUCGUGACACA